AGAGUUUGAUCCUGGCUCAGGAUGAACGCUAGCGGCAGGCUUAACACAUGCAAGUCGAGGGGCAGCGCGUGGCGGCAACGUCAUGGCGGCGACCGGCGGAAGGGUGCGUAACGCGUGAGCGACAUGCCCGUUGCCCGUGGACAACCGGUGGAAACGCCGACUAAUCCACGAUGGGACGAGUUGCUGCAUGGCAGCUCGUUGAAAGUUACGGCGGCGACGGAUUGGCUCGCGUCCGAUUAGCUAGUUGGCGGGGUAACGGCCCACCAAGGCUACGAUCGGUAGGGGUUCUGAGAGGAAGGUCCCCCACAAUGGAACUGAGACACGGUCCAUACUCCUACGGGAGGCAGCAGUGAGGAAUAUUGGUCAAUGGGCGGAAGCCUGAACCAGCCAUGCCGCGUGCGGGAAGGAGGCCCUAUGGGCUGUGAACCGCUUUUGCCUGGGGGCAAUAAGGGCGCCGUGCGCGCCCGAUGAGAGUACCAGGCGAAUAAGCAUCGGCUAACUCCGUGCCAGCAGCCGCGGUAAUACGGGGGAUGCGAGCGUUAUCCGGAUUCAUUGGGUUUAAAGGGUGCGUAGGCUGUGCGUCAAGUCGGGGGUGAAAUUCCGGUGCUCAACACCGGGGCUGCCCUUGAUACUGUCGCGCUGGAGUGCGGAUGCCGCCGGAGGAAUGAGUGGUGUAGCGGUGAAAUGCUUAGAUAUCACUCAGAACACCGAUUGCGAAGGCACCUGGCGAAUCCGUAACUGACGCUGAGGCACGAAAGCGUGGGGAUAGAACAGGAUUAGAUACCCUGGUAUUCCACGCCGUAAACG
rnacentral:rRNA from 1 species